UUUCGGUGCAGACACCUUGGGUGACUUGGCUAUUUUCUCUCAAUUUUGUUUCCUAAACAAGUCAGUUGAAAGGCAGCGCUGGUGCAGGUGGUAGUGCUUUGUGAUAAGUAUCUCUGAAAUAACUGGGGGAGAAGUCUUGCUUUGCCAAGUACUCGCUGUCGGUAGUUGUGCUGCCUCUCUCAGGCAGCUCUGGAUCACACCUGAGGUGUAUGGGUAGAAAGCCACCAGGAGCAGGGAUGAGGACUCCCAGCACACAGGGUUACAAAACCUGCUUGUAGGUCCCCAUGCAGCUGCAAAGGCAGAGCUGUGCCCUGGUGGGCACUCUCCUAGCAGAAGAGCUUCCAGGGAGCUGGCGAUAACCUUGUCAAGGGAAGGCCUGGACCAAUGUGCAUGGGGUGAUGAGACCACUCUCUUCUGGAUAGCAAGAGAAGCCAGACAUCAAAAAGAUCAAGGAUGCAAUAAAAAGGGCUACCUUACAGAGGACCGGCUUCUUUAAGCCAAACACUACACUGAAACGUGAAGGUCACCAGGACAAGGAUCUUUUUAUGACAGAGGUGGAAAAUUUGCCCUUGAACCUAUGGACAGCCCAUUUGACUUGUCGUAAUCUUUAGCCACACAGUGACUCAGCGUUCACCACACGGGUACAACAAGCAUUCACUGUUAGCUCAGCACCUGCGUAAAGACAACUUACUGAUAUUUUGAUUAUGUCAAGGAAUAACUCCCAGGAAAAAGAUGGUGAAACUGAGGUGCAGGAUUAUUUAGGGCUGUGGGCACCGUGUCUCCCUGUUCUGGCAGGGCAAGCUCUGCCUACAAUGGCGGGAGGGUUCUUUCAUUCCAGCUGUGUAUCAUCUGGCCAAAAGUUAACCCUCCAGUUUGAGACUUGAAUGCAGGAACAGGCAGAUUGUGCCAGACUGAGUACCUGUCUGCCAUGGCAGCCUGACUGACUGGAGCCAGUGGCAGCAACUUUGGGAAUAGUGUGAGAAUGGAGUUAAGCCUGGGCAGUGCUUGCACACACCUCCAGGGUUUUGCAGCUCACAUUCUUCCUCAACCAGAGGUGCUGGUUUGAUAAAUAGUGUUUCCCAAUGUUUUGGUUUUUUUUUUUCCUUCUUCCAUUACAGUGUCCAGUCACUUCUGGCCUGUAGCAAAGAGUUCCCCAGUGUAACUAUACCCUCUGUGAAGAAGUACCUACUUGUUUUGUUUUGAAUUUGGCACCUGCUUGUUUGAUUUAAUGAUUGUUAGUCUUCGCAUGGAAGGAGAUGGUGAACAAGCAUCCCUCACCCACCCUUUCCAUUCUAGGUGUUUAUCUCAGCCUGAUUAUUUUCCUUAAAACUCCAGGAAGUGGCAAUUAAAAAAUAGUUCAGCUAUUUCUAAGAAGACAGCAGGAAGACGUGCCAUUUUGCCCCUCUAAGAAGAAAUGCAUCCCCUUGCUUUUGUUGGAGGAUGCAGAAUGUGGUAAAGCAAUCAUCGCUGUGUCAAGGAUGUGCUAUUGUGGUCUCAGGGAUGAAGUUUGGACACAUCAUGUGAGAACAGGAAUCUCUAGACAUUCAGCUGAUGCUGGCAGAGGUGGGCAGCUGAUCUCUCCCUAUAAUCCAUUUGUGCUGUAGGAGCUCCAAGCACUUACUGCCCAGGGAAACGCAGAGCUGGAGAAGGCUUUUUGUAGCCAGUUGUUCUGGUGGCAUCAGGCUGCAGUCACUAUGAUGGGAACAAGGGGAACCUCUACUUUGUGUCCUGGCACACACCUAUGUGCACGUAGGCAGCGGGAGGCUGGAAAUAAUUACACCAGAUCACAGAGGAAAUAGAGAAGGGUGGAUGCUGCAGGAGCUGGGGAAUGGGGGGAGGCAAGGAGCUUGGAUGCAGGGUGUGGACAGGGAAGUCAGGGGAAGAAGUGGAUGUUUCUAGUCCAAUUACAAGGUUUAACAAUUUUAAAAGAUGAACUGGAUGUAGACAUAUCCAAAUUUGGACUGAUGAGAUCUACAUAUAUCUUCCACACUAUGGGCUACCAGCAGUUCCCAGAAGCAGUACUGGAAAUUCUGUAGAUGCUGAAUGACUUGCCUCUAUGACAAAGUGACUCCUACUGCCCAUGAACCAGAGACUGAUUUAUGUCAAGGAAUGGAGCAAUUAUAUCCUUCUGAAAACAUUCUCAUUCUUUCCUUUACAUCUCUGGUGUUCUCAUUAACAAAAUAAAUACAUAGCCUUCUUU